GAUGAACGCUGGCGGCGUGCCUAACACAUGCAAGUCGAGCGGGAUCUUCUGGAUUGAAGCUUCGGUAGAUUGAAGGAAGUGAGAGCGGCGGACGGGUGAGUAACGCGUAGGCAACCUGCCCUUUGCAGAGGGAUAGCCAUUGGAAACGAUGAUUAAAACCUCAUAAUGCCAUGAAACGACAUCGCUUUAUGGCCAAAGAUUUAUCGGCAAAGGAUGGGCCUGCGUCUGAUUAGCUGGUUGGUGAGGUAACGGCUCACCAAGGCGACGAUCAGUAGCCGACCUGAGAGGGUGAUCGGCCACAUUGGAACUGAGACACGGUCCAAACUCCUACGGGAGGCAGCAGUGGGGAAUAUUGCACAAUGGGCGAAAGCCUGAUGCAGCAACGCCGCGUGAGUGAAGAAGGUCUUCGGAUUGUAAAACUCUGUCCUUGGGGAAGAAGAACUGACGGUACCCUUGGAGGAAGCCCCGGCUAACUACGUGCCAG
rnacentral:rRNA from 1 species